rnacentral:rRNA from 1 species
AGAGUUUGAUCCUGGCUCAGAUUGAACGCUGGCGGAAUGCUUUACACAUGCAAGUCGAGCGGCAGCGCGGGGGCAACYCUGGCGGCGAGCGGCGAACGGGUGAGUAAUGUAUCGGAACGUACCCAGUCGUGGGGGAUAACUAUCCGAAAGGAUAGCUAAUACCGCAUACGUCCUGAGGGAGAAAGCGGGGGACCGUAAGGCCUCGCGCGAUUGGAGCGGCCGAUAUCGGAUUAGCUAGUUGGUGRGGUAAAGGCUCACCAAGGCGACGAUCCGUAGCUGGUCUGAGAGGACGACCAGCCACACUGGAACUGAGACACGGUCCAGACUCCUACGGGAGGCAGCAGUGGGGAAUUUUGGACAAUGGGGGCAACCCUGAUCCAGCCAUUCCGCGUGAGUGAAGAAGGCCUUCGGGUUGUAAAGCUCUUUCAGCAGGAACGAAACGGUGGCYCCUAAUACGRGYUACUAAUGACGGUACCUGAAGAAGAAGCACCGGCUAACUACGUGCCAGCAGCCGCGGUAAUACGUAGGGUGCGAGCGUUAAUCGGAAUUACUGGGCGUAAAGCGUGCGCAGGCGGUUAURUAAGACAGRUGUGAAAUCCCCGGGCUUAACCUGGGAACUGCGYUUGUGACUGYAUAACUYGAGUGUGGCAGAGGGGGGUGGAAUUCCACGUGUAGCAGUGAAAURCGUAGAGAUGUGGAGGAACACCGAUGGCGAAGGCAGCCCCCUGGGUCAACACUGACGCUCAUGCACGAAAGCGUGGGGAGCAAACAGGAUUAGAUACCCUGGUAGUCC